rnacentral:rRNA from 1 species
AACGAACGCUGGCGGCAUGCCUAAUACAUGCAAGUUGAGCGCUGAAUGCUGGUACUUUUACCAACUGGAGGGGCAGCGAACGGGUGAGUAACGCGUGUGGAAGCUUCCUUUUGGCAGGGGACAACAUUUGGGAACGAAUACUAAUACCGCAUAAAAACUGUAAACACAAUGAGUAAGUUUGAAAGAUGCAAUUGCAUCACUCAAAGAUGAUCCCGCGUUGUAUUAGCUAGUUGGUGAGGUAAAGGCUCACGAAGGCGAUGAUACAUAGCCGACCUGAGAGGGUGAUCGGCCAAAUUGGGACUGAGAGAUGGCCCGAGAUACUAAGGGAGGCAGCCGUCGGGGAUUUUCGGCAAUGGACGAAAGUCUGACCGAGCAACGACGGGUGAGAGCAGAAGGUAUUCGGACCGUAAGACUCUUUUGGUAGAGAAGAACGUUAGUGAGAGUGGAAAGCUAAUAAAGUGACGGUACCUACAGAGAAAGGGCCGGCUAACUCCGUG